rnacentral:rRNA from 1 species
UACAGAGGUCCCAAGCGUUGUUCGGAUUCAUUGGGCGUAAAGGGUGUGUAGGUGGCGCCGUAAGUCGGGUGUGAAAUCUCGGGGCUUAACUCCGAAACUGCAUUCGAUACUGCGGUGCUUGAGGACUGGAGAGGAGACUGGAAUUCAUGGUGUAGCAGUGAAAUGCGUAGAUAUCGUAAGGAAGACCAGUGGCGAAGGCGGGUCUCUGGACAGUUCCUGACACUGAGACACGAAGGCCAGGGGAGCAAACGGG